GCACUCGCUUCGGCAGUACAUCUACUAAGAAUUGGAACGAUAAUAGAGAAGAUGAGUGUGACUUUUGCACAAGGAUGACACCCAAAUUCGUGAAGCAUUCCAUAUUUUU
rnacentral:snRNA from 1 species